rnacentral:rRNA from 1 species
ACGAACGCUGGCGGCGUGCUUAACACAUGCAAGUCGAACGGAAAGGCCCUGCUUUUGUGGGGUGCUCGAGUGGCGAACGGGUGAGUAACACGUGAGUAACCUGCCCUUGACUUUGGGAUAACUUCAGGAAACUGGGGCUAAUACCGGAUAGGAGCUCCUGCUGCAUGGUGGGGGUUGGAAAGUUUCGGCGGUUGGGGAUGGACUCGCGGCUUAUCAGCUUGUUGGUGGGGUAGUGGCUUACCAAGGCUUUGACGGGUAGCCGGCCUGAGAGGGUGACCGGCCACAUUGGGACUGAGAUACGGCCCAGACUCCUACGGGAGGCAGCAGUGGGGAAUAUCGCACAAUGGGCGGAAGCCUGAUGCAGCAACGCCGCGUGCGGGAUGACGGCCUUCGGGUUGUAAACCGCUUUCGCCUGUGACGAAGCGUGAGUGACGGUAAUGGGUAAAGAAGCACCGGCUAACUACGU